GACGAACGCUGGCGGCGCGCCUAACACAUGCAAGUCGAACGGAGCUGAGAGAAGCUUGCUUUUCUUAGCUUAGUGGCGAACGGGUGAGUAACGCGUGAGUAACCUGCCCUGGAGUGGGGGACAACAGUUGGAAACGACUGCUAAUACCGCAUAAGCCCACGAUCCGGCAUCGGAUUGAGGGAAAAGGAUUUAUUCACUUCAGGAUGGACAUCCAUCCAAUUAUUUAGUUGGUGAGGUAACAGCCCACCAAGGCGACGAUGGUACGCCGGCCUGAUAGGUGGACCGGCAACAUUGGGACUGGGACCCGGACCAGACUCCUACGGGAGGCAGCAGUGGGGGAUAUUGCACAAUGGGGGAAACCAUGAUGCAGCGACGCCGCGUGGAGGAAGAAGGUUUUAGGAUUGUAAACUACUGUCGUUAGGGAAGAUAAUGACGGUACCUACCAAGAAAGCAACGGCUAACUACGUG
rnacentral:rRNA from 1 species